GAAGAGAAAACUGAGUCUCAGAGUGGUGGCAUGUCAGACAUCACCCAACCAGGAAGGACUGGAGCUGGGGUGGAGCCCAGGACCCUGAGGUUAAAUACUGCUCGUUCAUCCAACAUCUGCCGAAUGCCAGGGCAGAAGUUUUCCUGGUUCGUUUCUGCAUCUGUCGCCCCAGCACAGAGCCCGGCGUGUGUCUGCUCAGAGAAGAGUUGUGGGAUGAAGAUCGAGCCGGGGCCUCCAGCCUCUCCUUCACGGCUGACCCCAGCUCCUCUGACAACGCAGCAAUCCCAGCCCGGAUGGCAUCUGGGCAAGGCAGGUCUCCAGGGGACGCCUUCCCUGUGGGUUCUUCUCUGAAAGAAGUGGUAUUGAUGUCAGCAGGUGCCUGUCACUUUCCUUCCCCAGCAAAAUCUCAACUGUCAAAGCAAGUCUGGCGACAGGAGGAGGAUGCAGGGCUGGCUCCUGAAGACAGGUGUGGGCAGGUGGUGGACACUGGUUCGGCUCGCCUGGGCUCAGCAGGGGCAGAGACCCCUGUAGUGGGCUCUGCCACGUCUCGGCUCCAGCCCAGCUCGGCACCCCCUCCAGGGGGCAAGAAGGACAUGAGAGACAGGAGUGGAUGGUGGCCAAACCGAGAUCCUCUGGCCCUUCUCCUGCCCUCCCUGGUGGGCAUU